AUCCAGCUGACGAGUCACAAAUAGGACGGAACGCGUGUCAAACUGGAU
rfam:Schistosoma haematobium scaffold131_6, whole genome shotgun sequence.